rnacentral:hammerhead_ribozyme from 1 species
AUCCAGCCGACUAGUCCCAAAUAGGACGAAAUGCACAUCCUCGAU